rnacentral:lncRNA from 1 species
AUGGAUCCUAUUAGGCAUUAUUGGUUCUAUUCUUUUGCCUUUGACACCAGGUCAGCAGGGGCUUCUGCCUGCUUUGUGAAGGGAGCCCCUGGGGCCCAUUCCCUCCCCGAGGGGCUGCACUUGGCAGCUGCCGGGACUUUCACGGCUGAGCCCACUGGGAGCCCCGGAGCUGGCCUGGGGACAAAGGGUGGGGCUGGCCCGGCUGUGAUGCCUCUGGCCCGUGUGACAUCAGGGGAACGGGUCACAAUGGGGCAGCUAGAAAAGACCCUCACAGGUGAUGCUGGCCCAGCACAGCCUGGGCAAGUGCUGAGUGUGCUCGUGGCAGGGCUGGGCUGGGCCAAGGCUGGGGCACGAGCUCCACACCUGGGGCUGUGGGUGAGACGCAGAAGAGCAGCCGUGAGGCUGAGAGCAGUGGCCCACAGAGCCGAGGCAGACGCGAGAAGGCGCAGGAGAGAAAUCGAGGCGAGAAGGCUUCGGUUACGGAGGACAGUCAGAGACUUGAGGGAAAUGUGGAGGACCAUGAGGAUGCUAAAGAAGAGAAUGGCCAGGCUGAUUCGAGUGACUCGGACUGUGAGCAGGAAGGUGCAGGUGACUUCUUCGCUCCAAGCUCUCCUGGCCCACCUGAACCCACCUGUGACAUCCAGCUCUGUCUCAAAUUCCCAUCCCAGCCAAGCUGCUGUGGAGCUGAAAUCUACCUUGAAAAACAACUGAAAUAAACUCAAGCUGAAAAAUAAACUCA